rnacentral:rRNA from 1 species
GAUGAACGCUAGCUACAGGCUUAACACAUGCAAGUCGAGGGGUAGCAGGGUAGCAAUACCGCUGACGACCGGCGCACGGGUGAGUAACACGUAUCCAACCUUCCCAUAACUCGGGGAUAGCCUUUCGAAAGAAAGAUUAAUACCCGAUAGUACUUAAGAAAGGCAUCUUUUUUAAGUUAAAGAUUUAUUGGUUAUGGAUGGGGAUGCGUUCCAUUAGAUAGUUGGUGAGGUAACGGCUCACCAAGUCUUCGAUGGAUAGGGGUUCUGAGAGGAAGGUCCCCCACAUUGGUACCGAGACACGGACCAAACUCCUACGGGAGGCAGCAGUGAGGAAUAUUGGUCAAUGGGCGAGAGCCUGAACCAGCCAAGUAGCGUGAAGGAUGAAGGUCCUAUGGAUUGUAAACUUCUUUUAUAGUAGAAUAAAGUGACCCACGUGUGGAUUUUUGUAUGUAUACUAUGAAUAAGGAUCGGCUAACUCCGUGCCAGCCGCCGCUGUAAAAC